rnacentral:misc_RNA from 1 species
UACAGAGGGUGCAAACGUUGCUCGGAAUCACUGGGCAUAAAGCGCGCGUAGGCGGUUGCGUCAGUGCGGUGUGAAAGCCCCCGGCUCAACCGGGGAAUUGCAUCGCAUACUGCGCGACUAGAGCACGAGAGGGGAGAGCAGAACUCCUGGUGGAGCGGUGGAAUGCGUAGAUAUCAGGAGGAAUGCCGGAGGUGAAGACGGCUCUCUGGCUCGUGACUGACGCUGAGGUGCGAAAGCUAGGGUAGCGAACGGG